ACAAUUGCAACGGCUGUGCCAAACAGGUUGAAACAGUGAUAUAGUAUGCCAGCCUGUUCGAUUUAACCAGCUGUCUGCCUCAAGCGUCUUCACUCAUUCAUUCUCUUCUUAGUCUCCCUUAUCCUUUCCUUGUUUUGUGAUCAGCUUGUUUUAUAUUUAUUUUCUUCUACAAAUAUACGGAGUCUUUCAAUGCGCAUACAAUUAAAAUUCCUGAAAUUGAAUUUACGUUGCCAGGAAAAUGUAUAAAUAUGUCAAUGACAAUAUGUAAACACAGUAGAAAUUAAUUGAAACUGCAACUUUUCAGCGCGUCUUUUAUCUCCUUUCGUGGUCUUUUAUCUCCUCCGUCAGACCAGGAAGAUUGUAAACAGGUUUAACCACCAUUGCAAUAUUCAGAUCCUCCGCAAAAUAACUGCACGUUUUCCAAAACAAUGGCUACGUUAAUUUACUUUUUUUCGCAACAGUAAUUUAAUUUCAAUUGUAUAUAUGAUCACCCGUUCAGUUUGUUCAUCCAAAUGUCCGCGAUUUAGCCUCUUUAAAAAAAUACAAAAGUGUUGAAUCACGUUGAAUUUCCCCUCGCAAAAAAUUUCACCUGCGCGUUUUUUUUUUUAAUAAGAAGUAGUAUUUUUGAGAAUAUAACAAUUUAGGUCUUUAUAUACAGGUUC